AGAGCUGCCAUGUUCCUUCUAUGUAGACUGGUGCAGGGCGUGAGGCUCUGUCACAGCUCCUGCCUCUGGUGGCCUUGUCUGCUGGCUCACCUUGUUGGUGUGGGCAGCCGCUGGGUCACUGCUCCUCCAGUCCCGACUGGAGCCUCUUUCAGCUUCUUUAGGAUACCGACUUCCUUGAAUUUGGAGACUUUUGAUUCCAAUCUGUCCUUUGGUUCCAGCUUCGUGCUCGUGGCUUCCAGUUUGUCUUUGCUGUCCCCCAUCUUCACUUCCAGAUUACCUGCCCUACACACUUCAGGCUGCAGGACCAGCAGUACAUAGACUGUUUAACCAGCUCCCCAAAUUAUUUAGUGACUAUAAGUCCCUAUUUUACAUUGCUCCUAGUGGUGCUGUUUCUUCUCUGAUUGAACCCUAACAGAUACACUGGAACAGAGAGAGGACACUCCAUCUAAGAACAGACAAUGGACAAGCCAAGAGGGAUCCAGGAACUAAGCCUGAAGGAGAAAAAAAACGUGCUGGAGACUCAAGAUGUUCUGGCUGAGAAAACCAGGGGCUGUUAGGGUGACGCACUCUUCAGGGGAAGAAAGAUCAACCAAACUGUGGUGACUUUUUGUGCCAUCCUCAACGCAGGGUCACACAAGCACCAUCAAUUUCAAGGAUGGAUGUUAACAAGCCUGCCUGGUCUGAGCUCAGCCCCUCCACUUACCAGCUGGGGGACCUUGAGCAAGUCACUUACUGGGUCUUUGCUUCAGUUCACUCAUACGUAAAAUGGAGAUGAAAUUGUACCUACCUCAUUGGUUGCUGGGAGAGUUACAAGAGUUAAUACUGUAAAUAUCUGUAAAGGAUUAUCCUCGGCACAUAGUACUAAGUUUCUUCUGUUUACUUGUAGGAAACAUUCGUAUUUACAGGUAACUCAGGUCUUACCUAUGUCUCUGGAGUGUACCUCUCCCCUACCACCCCCACCAUCUGCCCUAGGAAUUCCCCUUGCCCAUCUUGCAAGCACUCUCCUUCUCAUCUCCCUCACUUAAAACCCCACUGUCAGCUCUUAUAGAGGGAGUCAUUUGAGAAGCACACCAACCCUCCUCUGGGUCUUCUCUCCCCUGACCUCGCCUUCUAGAAACCAAUUAUCAGCACCUUGAAUUCAAAGUUCAAAUGAUCCUCCUGUGAGGUCUGAGCGGCUAUGAUGGGGGAUGUGAGGGAGGCAGCACUGGGAGCCUUUUCUUGCCCUUAUCACUAACUUAUUGAGCAUCUGCUGUAUGCCAUGCAGUCCACCAGGCACAUUCCAUAUAAUGCUUCACUCAGUCUUCCAACAACAUGUUGGGUGAUACCAUCUUUGUUUCACAGGAGAUGUAGUUGAAGCUAAGAGAGGUUAGGUAAUUGCUCAAGAUCACAUGGCCAAAGAGUCGUGGGAUCAGAAUAGGAAACCGGUCCACGUGGGAUGCACAGCCCUAGCCAGCACUUUCCCCUCCAAAUCCUGCCCUUCAACUCCCUAGUCAUUGUCAGAAAAUCUUGAAAGGCAUGUGCACUGCUUUAGGGACAGGAGAGAAGGGGAAAAGAGAUGAGGCUGAGUUCUGUGGGGGCUAAGGAGCAGAGAAGCAGAGAAGUGUGAGAAGCGUCCAGAGGAAUAUGUCCGUAAUUGUUUUUCUUCUGUAGCUUUCUCUUCCUUCAUCCCCUGUUUUGACCUUGGUCAAAAGCCACCAAGUUCAGACAGCGCAAAAACAAUUGUCGAGGACAACAAGAAGGGCAGGUGGUUCAUCCCAAUCACCUAGAAGGUUUUAGACCUCUCUCAAACUUUCUCCACUGAUGAGGAGGAACCACAGAAACCACGUGGAAAACACUUCGAGUAUUUUGAAUGACUAUUUUCUCAAUUCUCCCAGGAUGCUACGUAACUAAUGACUAUUUUCUCAAUUCUCCCAGGAUGCUACGUAACUAGUCCCAUGCUGGAUACAUAGGAGCGAAGUUGAAAUUCAUUACAUACAUAUGUCUUAGGACAACAAGAUUGGAUUCUGUCAGAAAAGAGUCUAUUUACUUAAGAAUAGCACAAUGUAUAUCAUAAUAAACUCCUGUAAACACAUCACUCAUCUUCAACAGCUAGCAACAAUUUGUCAAUUUUGUUUCAUCUUUUCCUUGAGACAUCAUGAAUGUCACCCAUAAAUACAUGAAUAUACAUCUCUUCCUGGAAAGACCUUUUAAAACAUCAUCAUUAUUCCAUUAUUGCACCUCACAAAAAAUAAUAAAUUCCUAACAUCUAAAACAGUAAACUAAUGUCAAUAGGAUUUGCAAUAAAUUAAUAACAUGAGAUACUCAAAUCAUAUUCAAAUUUCCUUAUUCUCCCAAAAAUGGUUUUUUAGAGGUUUUUUAUGUGGCCGGCUUAGCCACAAAUAAAGGCAAAGAAUCUGGUUAUGACACACAUGAUGUCUGUCCUCCUCUUCCUCGCUUUAUUCAUUCAACAAAUAUCUAUUGAUUGCCUACGGUGUGCCUGGCCCUGAAUAAGGGCUUUUAUUAAAAGCCUCAGGUCCUGUCCUUGAGAACUGAUAUGUCACCUGCUCGCUUCCCUGGCUUGGACCUGCACUCCCACCCCCAGUUUUCAUUUUUUUUCCCUAAGAACUUUCUUUAGGAGUUAGUUCAGCCCAAACCGGAAACUCCAGGUACCAGAUUGUUAAAUCUCAGGGUCUUUAGACAACUUCUAGUACAAUGUUUCUCAAACUGAUUUCUCCAACUGUAUUCUUGAGUUACGAAUAUAGUGAACACAUUCACUAUUAAGAAUAUAUCUAUAUAGAAUAGAGCUAAGAGUAUUCUGGCUGGGAAAACACUGCCUCAAGAAAUGAAAGACAAUCUAUAAAACUUUCAGUUGUGUAUUGUUACUAAAAUAUAUGAGUUUUAUCUUUAUAACUGAUAAAAUAAUUCUACCAAAAUAAAAUCAUAAAUGUGGAGUGAUUGUUUCAUUUUGACAUUAGGUGCAAUAUUUCUUAAAAUGAGGUCUGCAGCUCCUGGAGGGGAGGGGAGACGUUCUAUGGACAUAUUUGGGGGAGACCAUGUAUCCUCCAUUUUGAGAAACCAACAUAGGGUAAUGGAUCCCAAAUGUGACUUUACGUUAGAGUCUUCUGAGGAUUUCUCUAAAAAUACAGAUGCCAGGGCUCCAUUCCAGGCCUCCUAAAUUAGAAUUUCCACAAGUGAGGCCAAGGAAUCUGAAUUUUAACAUGCUCUUCAAGUGAUUCUGAUUGGCUAGUUUGAGAAAUCAUUGGUCAAGGAGUUCCUUUACUUUUCUCCAUCAGUGAACGUUAAAUCUGUUCUACAAUUUCCUGACAAAUACUCAUGCAGUAUUAGCUUGACUCCCCAGCGAGCGGCAGCUUACUUUCCUUUGAGGCGGCCCAUCCUGUUGUAGACAUUAUUGUUGAUUUCUUUCUUCUUCUUUUUUUAAAGAUUGGCCCUGAGCUAACAUCUGUGGCCAAUCUUUUUGUUUUCCUUCUUCUUCUCCCCAAAAUCCCCCAGUACACAGUUGUAUAUUUUAGUUGUAGGUCCUCCUAGUUCUGCUAUGUGGGACGCCGCCUCAGCAUGGCCUGAGGAGCAGUGCUAAGUCCACGCCCAGGAUCCGAACUUGUGAAACCCUAGGCCACUGAAGUGGAGCCUGUGAAUUUAACCACUCGGCCAUGGGCCGGCCCCAUGAUUUCUUUCUUCUAUUGAGCUGAAACUCCCUUUCUUUCAAGUUUUACCUAAGGGUCCAGUGAUACAGAGAACAUAGUUAGAUCAGGACUUGUAAGUUUAUUAUUAAACAAGAAUCUUUGUAUAAUAACCCUCUUAAGACAAUCUGUCUUCUAAAAGGCUACUAACUCUUGGAGAAAUUUUUUUACAAAAAAAUCCCUGGGGCCGGCCCCGUGGCCAAGUGUUUAAGUUCGCGCACUCCAGCUUUGGUGGCCCAGGGUUUCACUGGUUUGGAUCCUGGGCGCGGACAUGGCACCGCUCAUCAGGCCAUGUUGAGGUGGCGUCCCACAUGCCACAACUAGAAGGACCCACAACUAAAAAUAUACAACUAUGUACCGGGGGACUUUGGGGAGAAAAAGGAAAAGUAAAAUCUUUAAAAAAGAAAAAAAAAAUCCCAGAUUCAACACGCUAUAUUCUAUUGGGACUGAUUCUUACAGGUUUUAUUUAAUUACAAUGAUUCAUAGACUAUGGUCUGACUGGACUACUAGAAAGUAUCCAUUACUAUCUUUAGGAAAUUUUGGGAAAAAUGUGCAAAAAUAUGUAAGGAUUGUGUUCGUGCAAUGAAAUUUGUUAAGAAAGGUAGCUUUUAUGUUUUUCUCUUGGUGAGUCUUUUGAUUUUAUUUUCAAGUUAUUGAAAUUUUUCCAAUAUUGUUUCCCUUCCUCCUUUCUUUUCUUCCAUCUUUCCCGCUUUCCUUGUGCCGUAAAUGUGUGUUUAGUCUUCCUACCAUAGAGCAAGGGAGAGGCUGGAAGAGGAGAACCAGUUUGGAUUCUGUUACAACAAUCCAGGAAGGAAUAGCCAAAGGGUACGGGCAAUGGGGGGAUGGAAAGAAGAGACAGAAAUGAUAGUCAGGAAGGAAACAUGCCAGGACCGAAUCACCGAGUGGAUAUAAAGGCAAGGGAGCUGGAGGAAAGAAAAUUACUCCAAGCUUUGGGGGAAAAUGGGGGAGUGACUGGCAGAAAUGCUAAGAUCUAAAGGAGCGAGAUAAGAUAAUACAUUUGGACAUAUUGGUUUGAGGAACUGGUGGAGAAUGUUUAAUAGGCUUUUGUAAUGUAGUACUGAAACUUAGUGAAACCGAGAACAAAAAAGUUAAACAAAGAACAAAAACUUUGAGAUAAGCUUUCCUAACUGCAGCUGUGCGUACUCAGCAGAAUCAACUGUUUAAAACUAACCAGCUCUUUCUGUCCCUCAGUACAUUAGUGAGCUGUCUUUCCCAGGAAGUCAAGGUCUGGACAUCAAGAUUCAGCCUCACGAGGCCAAAUGCAGACUGAAGAUGGAAACCUCUAUUCCAUUCGAGUGGGGAAGGGAAGAGGCACAUUGCCAGUGAACACGCUGUCUUCACCCAGCACAAGGUGAACCUGAGGCCAUUUAUUCAAGUCUUGUGCAGACAAACUACGGAAGACAAACCU
rnacentral:lncRNA from 1 species